UUUCGAUAAUGGCGGCCGAUAUCGCGACAGCGAGACCCAAAUGGACACGGACAAUGCUGCCAACUUGAGGGAAGUCCUCCUCUGCUGAAAGGCGAACGAGCUGGGGGAGGAGAGAGAGGAUUUCCCUGCUGGUCUUGUGGACAGCACGGUGCACUGUCAGUGUGCAAAGGCUCUGGCUAAACCACGAUCAGAUGUCCCGCUUGUGAGCCAAAAGAGGAAGACAAGGGCCUCGAUGACGGGUCCCACGCCGUACCGAGGAUGUACCGUUAAAGGAUCCUGCUGGAGAGUCUGAAGUCCACCCUCAUAUCACUUUCCCCAUCAAAAUACAGGGCCAGCAAUGAAUAGAACAAUAGGAUCUAUUUAAAUGUCUAUUGUGUUGCCUCUGCUUUCACUCUUGUAUUUUCACUGUAAUUAAUAGCUAUUGCAAUAAACACCCUUUAUAU